UGCAGAAUCCCGUGAACCAUCGAGUCUUUGAACGCAAGUUGCGCCCGAAGCCAUUUGGCCUAGGGCACGUCUGCCUGGGCGUCACGU
rnacentral:rRNA from 1 species